GAUGAACGCUAGCGGCAGCCUUAUAACUGCAAGUUUAACGGCUGGUGGGUUAGCCAUAGAACGAUGAAGGCGGCGCACGGGUGCGUAAAGCGUAUGCAACCUACCUUUUAAUGGGGGAUAGCCCGGAGAAAUCUGGAUUAAAAACCCAUUGGACCUAUUGAUGGCAUCAGAGAAAUGUUAAAGACUUUAUGGUAAGGGAUGGGCAUGCGUCUGAUUAGGUAAUUGGGGGGGUAACGGGCCACCAAGGCGACGAUCAGUAGGGGUGCUGGGAGGAAGGUCCCCCACACUGGAACUGAGAUACGGGGCAGACGCCUACGGGAGGCAGCAGUAGGGAAUAUUGGGCAAUGGUCGGAAGACUGACCCAGCCAUGCCGCGUGCAGGAAGAAGGCCCUCUGGGUUGUAAACUGCUUUUAUCUGGGAAGAAAAAGGCCAUGCGUGGCAAAUUGCCGGUACCAGAUGAAUAAGCACCGGCUAACUCCGUGCCAGCCGCCGCGGUAAAAC
rnacentral:rRNA from 1 species